rnacentral:hammerhead_ribozyme from 1 species
GCACUGCUGAAGAGUCUCAUAAUAGGACGAAACGGCCGUAUAAUGC